rnacentral:lncRNA from 1 species
GUAAUUAGAGAACACCAGGCAUUGCUUCCAGGUUUCAAAGUGGCUUCCAUCCAGCUGCAGGGAGGCUCACAGCAGAAAACCAGAUGUUCAAAUAAAGACCUAAGUGGACAAAUAUGGACGAUGUGCAUUACAUAAAUAUGUGAUGGAAAUCUUUCAUGGUAUUUAGAAAUAACAUCAGUGACUUAAAAGUAUUUGUAUGAAUGUCUCUAUUCUUCCAGAAGCACCGAAGGGAGGAGUUCAAAUGCAAUUGUUGGAAAGAAGACAGGUCAUGAGGAUUUGGGGAAAAGAGAAAUUGUGCCCAUGGCAGUUGUUUUCAUGGUUUUGAGUUAAAUCAGAGAAAAACCUGAGUGCAGAUGUCCUCAGACACAUGAUCCACUUCUUCCAUCAAAGAGGCUCCCACAGAAAUAAUGAUAUUCGUUAAAGCCUGUUCUGUUUGGCUCUAUUAAGAGUUAAAAACUUGGAGAAGGAGCACAUGCCUGGGAAACUGCAGACAAAUUCUUGAGUUGGAAAAUACACCCUACUAAAUUCUUGAAUACAAAAAAUAAUGCUUUAAAUUGUACUUUGGACAUGAUAUGUCCACUUUUUUGGCUCAACAAACAAACCCGAAAUUGUUUUUAGCUUUCUGCUCUGGCAUUCACAAAGUUUUGCCUAAAACCCUUGGAGAAUUGCUGAAAAAGAUUUAUUUAUGUGCAUUCUGAAGACCAUGCCAAAAUCCUGCUGCUUCAUGUUUUUCAAGAUUCUUCUAAAUUAAAAAGCAAGUGUACAGCCGGUAAGCUCAGGAUCAGGAGCAAGACCGGAGGCAGUGCCAGAAGCCUGGGAUGUUUUUCUUAUUACAAAGGGUGAUGUCAAAAGGUCGAUUUGGGGAUGAAGAUGGAAACCAGCACCUGCACCCCCGCGUGGAAUACGAGGGACAAAUGCAACGGCAGGAAGGGGCAGUUCUCAAAACCACUGGCUCCUGGAAACCCUCCUCUGUCCUGGCUCUGGUGGCUCUGGUGGCUCUGGUGGCUCCAGGCCUGUGUGGCUCUGGGUGCACGGGGUGGCUCCCUCUCUGCCCUCCUCGGGGCCUCUGCUUUGCCAUCCCAGGGGCUCCCCCUGAACGUGGGUCCCUGGCCAGCACCUGGGGCCCAGCCUCCUCCAGGAGGAGCUGUCCUCGCUCACGGUUCCAGUUGUCACCUGCAUGUAGAGGACGUCGGGGACAGUGCUG